GCAAGGAUUUGUUUAGAAAUGGCUGCUUAUCUCAUUUGCCUUACUUCUGGAGGUGGUAUUCCACUCUUUACACGUUCCAAAGGCGAUUUGAAACCGUUGCCAUUCCCUGUUAUUGGGUCUUUAAAUGCUGUUCAUAUGUUUGCUGCUAAUCAUGGCACAGAAUUAAAAACUGCAACAACAGAAGGCUCCAAGAUUGUUUGGAAAUCAUUUCUUAACAGUAUAAAUCUGAUUAUUGUAACAAGUGAAGAUAAUGCUGAUGAUUGUCAUGUAAAUAAACUACUAGAUAAUAUCUUCCAUGCUUUAAUAUUAUUAUACGGGGAGGAAGAAUUGGCCAAUAUUAAAAAUGUAGAAAGGUGUAAACGUGAAAUCAAAGUAUGUUAUCAACUUAUAGAUUAUAUAUUAGAAAGAUGGUUUUUACCAACAUUUUCUGAUGUAACAAAUGCUGUAGAUACCAUUGCUGCACAAGAAGUUCAUAUUUUACAAAAUUUUCUGGAUGCCUUUACUGAAACUGGGGACAGCCUGUUUGGGUGUUUGAUGGUUCAUGGAAAAGUUGCAGUCGCUACUAAAAAAUGGUGGAGUUUAUCUGCUACAGAAUUAAUCUUAUUGUCAUUGUUAGUUGAGUCAUUACUUAGAUGUUCCUCUAGAGAUGUUCCUGUUUAUUUACCUCAGAUGAGUCCAUCGGUACCUCACAGAUUAUUGACAUUUAGCUUGAUGAAUGGUGUAGAUGUUUGUAUCAUUUGCGGUCCGGCACCAUCGUUAUCUCAACUAGAAAAGGAGGUGGGAAGAUUUUGGGGAGCUGCCUUUGAUUCAUUAAAGUCUUUACGAGAAGUUCAUCCGAGAAAUAUACCACCUAAUAUCACUUUAGAUCCUAAUAUAAUGGGGUUCAUGUUAAUAAAUGGUGAAAGUAAUAGAUGUUUAUGUUCUGUUGAUGUAAAUUCAUGUACAUCAGAACACAGUAUAAAUGGUGCAAGAAGAAGAGAGAUAUUACGGUGCUAUUAUCAAAAAGUUAUAGGAACUUAUUUCUCCAGUACAAUAGAAGGCAGUGAAAAUGGUCCAACAGAGUUUGCUCACAAACCAUUUGAAACAUAUGUUGUUACAGAGAGCUAUAAAAUAUAUGCCUUACAACUCAACACCUAUCAUUUUUUCGUGCUGUAUACCAUAGACAUUCCCACAUAUGCCAUGAGGAAACAACAGCACAGACCGUCACAACAGAUUUCGUAAUCCAUGGCUAUGAAAGGGGCGAUUUGGAGUACACAUUUACAAUAGCCAGGGAAGAACACCAAGACGAAAUUUUCGAUGUUAACUGUCCCGUUUCCAUUCUUAGAACUUGUAUCGCGCAUGAUUCGGAGGAAGAGCUUGUGAUGAAGAUAGAAGAGAUUAUACAAAAUGAAACGGUAAUAACACUAAAAAUGGUCGGCAAUAAAUUGGCAGAACUGUAGGAUAUUAUCGAGCUGUUACAUGUAUACAUAUAUGUAAAUAUUAGUCAAAUUUUCAUUUUAUAUUGUUGGAUUUUUGUUUGUCCUAUUGUUUCGAUUUUCGUGUAGGACCAAUUUUAAUAAAGCCAGGACCCGGUUCACAAUUUAUUAAAGAAUAUUUAUUCUUUUUAUUUUCCCCAACGGACCGGGUCCUACAAUCUUCGUCGCUUAAUCAUUCAUUGAGUCAUCAUCUAUCCGCCCCAAACAACAAAUUAAUGGCAUAAUGGACAACUGAAUAUUUAAGCGCACCUCUGAUAUAUGGAAAAUCACGGUCAAAUAUUUAAUACGACACGCUCAGUAAUACGCAUUUGACUGUGAUCUUCCAUGUUCCAAAAUAUGUAUAUUCCAUUUUAAUAUUCAUUCAUUGCUGUAAUUAUGUACUAAAUAUAGAACUCGAUCAUAAUUUAAUAUCAUUUCCAGCAGAAAAUAUUACAUUUAUUCUAUAUGCAACCUAAAUUUCAAACUAUAAGAUUGUAAGCCAUUAUAUAUCCCUGACUGAUACCAUAAUUUACAUUUUGCAUUUGACUUGUAAUAUCUCUCUCUUUA